AGAGUUUGAUCCUGGCUCAGAAUGAACGCUGGCGGCGUGCUUAACACAUGCAAGUCGAACGAGAACGGAUCUAGCUUGCUAGAUUGUCAGCUAAGUGGCGCACGGGUGAGUAAUGUAUAGGUAACCUACCCCGAAGAGCGGGAUAACGUCUGGAAACGGACGCUAAUACUGCAUAUACCUUCUGACCAUAAGGUUAGAAGGAAAAUGAAUUUCGCUUCGGGAUGGGCCUUUAUCGCAUCAGCUAGUUGGUAAGGUAACGGCUUACCAAGGCUAUGACGCGUAGCUGAUCUGAGAGGAUGAUCAGCCACACUGGUACUGAGACACGGACCAGACUCCUACGGGAGGCAGCAGUGGGGAAUAUUGCACAAUGGAGGAAACUCUGAUGCAGCAACGCCGCGUGGAGGAUGACACAUUUCGGUGCGUAAACUCCUUUUAUAGGUCAAGAUAAUGACGGUAGCCUAUGAAUAAGCACCGCUAACU
rnacentral:rRNA from 1 species